AAGUUACACACAUAAUGACAGACAAAUACCGUAAACUGUGGUAUGCGACAGCGGACAGUCAUUUUAGUUCAGUUGCACCAAAACAUCAGGCAACGUGCUGUGGGCCUGUAGGUUAAAUAGGUUUGCUCCAUGUUUGCACGCAUUUUCUCAAGCUAUAAUAAACGAUCUACGAAACAUACUCAUUGAAAUCCGGAAAAUAUGAAGGAAUCCGAUCCAUUUUUCUUCGCGAGAAAGUUGCACAAAAAGAAAUCCAUAAUGGCUGAGACUGUUACUAGCGAAUUCGUAAAAUGGAUUUACACGAAUACUUGAUAUUUGCUCAAAUCGUCAACCCAACCUGAAUAAUGCAUUAUCAAAGCAAAAAAUCCUUUUUGCUACAACUCAAAUCCAGCAAUUAAACCAGACUUAUGAAGACAAAGUUUUGGCAGAACUUUACAUACCCAUGUCUGAAAUAGCUGGUACAAACAAGCAUUUUGCUAUGCAACAAUCAUUAUGAACAGAUGCUCCUUUGUCAAGAGAGACUUGCCAAGUAUGUACCAGAAACGAAAGAUGAUUUCAAACGACAAUUUUGAUUUGUAUUUGUCAAAAUAAAUAAAAGUUAAUCGAAAAUAAAA